GUCUAUGGCCAUGCCACUCUGAACAAACCUGAUCCUGUCUGAUCUUGGAAGCUAAGCAGGGUUAGGCCUGGUUAGUAUUUUGAUGGGAGACCACUCAGGAAGACCAGGUGCUGGAGGCG
rnacentral:rRNA from 1 species